rnacentral:rRNA from 1 species
UACGUAGGGUGCAAGCGUUAAUCGGAAUUACUGGGCGUAAAGCGUGCGCAGGCGGUUGUGCAAGACAGAUGUGAAAUCCCCGGGCUCAACCUGGGAACUGCAUUUGUGACUGCACGGCUGGAGUGCGGCAGAGGGGGAUGGAAUUCCUGGUGUAGCAGUGAAAUGCGUAGAUAUCAGGAGGAACACCGAUGGCGAAGGCAGGUCUCUGGGCUGACACUGACGCUCAUGCACGAAAGCGUGGGGAGCAAACAGG